rnacentral:rRNA from 1 species
AGAGUUUGAUCCUGGCUCAGGAUGAACGCUGGCGGCGUGCCUAAUACAUGCAAGUCGAGCGAACGGACGAGAAGCUUGCUUCUCUGAUGUUAGCGGCGGACGGGUGAGUAACACGUGGAUAACCUACCUAUAAGACUGGGAUAACUUCGGGAAACCGGAGCUAAUACCGGAUAAUAUUUUGAACCGCAUGGUUCAAAAGUGAAAGACGGUCUUGCUGUCACUUAUAGAUGGAUCCGCGCUGCAUUAGCUAGUUGGUAAGGUAACGGCUUACCAAGGCAACGAUGCAUAGCCGACCUGAGAGGGUGAUCGGCCACACUGGAACUGAGACACGGUCCAGACUCCUACGGGAGGCAGCAGUAGGGGAUCUUCCGCAAUGGGCGAAAGCCUGACGGAGCAACGCCGCGUGAGUGAUGAAGGUCUUCGGAUCGUAAAACUCUGUUAUUAGGGAAGAACAUAUGUGUAAGUAACUGUGCACAUCUUGACGGUACCUAAUCAGAAAGCCACGGCUAACUACGUGCCAGCAGCCGCGGUAAUACGUAGGUGGCAAGCGUUAUCCGGAAUUAUUGGGCGUAAAGCGCGCGUAGGCGGUUUUUUAAGUCUGAUGUGAAAGCCCACGGCUCAACCGUGGAGGGUCAUUGGAAACUGGAAAACUUGAGUGCAGAAGAGGAAAGUGGAAUUCCAUGUGUAGCGGUGAAAUGCGCAGAGAUAUGGAGGAACACCAGUGGCGAAGGCGACUUUCUGGUCUGUAACUGACGCUGAUGUGCGAAAGCGUGGGGAUCAAACAGGAUUAGAUACCCUGGUAGUCCACGCCGUAAACGAUGAGUGCUAAGUGUUAGGGGGUUUCCGCCCCUUAGUGCUGCAGCUAACGCAUUAAGCACUCCGCCUGGGGAGUACGACCGCAAGGUUGAAACUCAAAGGAAUUGACGGGGACCCGCACAAGCGGUGGAGCAUGUGGUUUAAUUCGAAGCAACGCGAAGAACCUUACCAAAUCUUGACAUCCUUUGACAACUCUAGAGAUAGAGCCUUCCCCUUCGGGGGACAAAGUGACAGGUGGUGCAUGGUUGUCGUCAGCUCGUGUCGUGAGAUGUUGGGUUAAGUCCCGCAACGAGCGCAACCCUUAAGCUUAGUUGCCAUCAUUAAGUUGGGCACUCUAAGUUGACUGCCGGUGACAAAC